rnacentral:misc_RNA from 1 species
AACCUAGCACACCUGCGGUGUGUACCUGCGGAAGGAUCAUUACAGAGUUCAUGCCCUCACGGGUAGAUCUCCCACCCUUGAAUACUAUACCUUUGUUGCUUUGGCGGGCCGCUUUGGCUACUGGCUCUGGCUAGUAAGUGCCCGCCAAAGAACCCCAAAACUCUGAAUAUUAGUGUCGUCUGAGUACUAUAUAAUAGUUAAAACUUUCAACAAUGGAUCU